CAACGGGGUUUCGGGGCUGUGGACCCUGUGCCAGGAAAGGAAGGGCGCAGCUCCUGCAAUGCGGAGCAGCCAGGGCAGUGGGCACCAGGCUUUAGCCUCCCUUUCUCACCCUACAGAGGGCAGGCCCUUCAGCUCCAUUCUCCUCCAAGGCUGCAGAGGGGGCAGGAAUUGGGGGUGACAGGAGAGCUGUAAGGUCUCCAGUGGGUCAUUCUGGGCCCAGAGAUGGGUGCUGAAGCUCCCACACCUGCCUGUGAAAAUGGAUUCCUCUCUCACCUGGGAGAGCCAGGUGCUGCCCCGAGAAGGAUGCAUUUAUGGCUUCAUGAAGUCUUUCCUGACCCCCGAUGCUGCUGACUAUAGAGACAAAGUCUCACUAUGUUGCUCAGGCUGGUCUUGAACUCCUGGCCUCAAGCGAUCCUCCCACCUUAGCCUCCCAAAGUGUUGGGAUUAUAGACAUGAGCCACUGCACCUGGCCAACCUUGGGCAAGUUCUUAAACCCUUCAAAGCCUCAUUUUUCUCCAAUCAUAAAAGGGAAAGAUGGUAAUAUUUUCCCCGCCAAAUUCUUGUCGGAUGCCCUCACAGAAUUGAGAUUAUGUACGUAAAACACCAGGUGCCUAACCCGGCACAGAGCAGGAGGGCUAAGCGUGACAUCCAGCAUGUGGUCAGUGGAAUCCAGUAUUCCUACCCACCUCUCUAGUCUCCCCUCCACCCCUCUCCCUUUCAGAGGCACCAAGCUGCUUGUGGUCUUGUCUAUUCCCACUCCCUGCCCGACUGAACAUUUUCUCUACCUCCUGAUCAUCAGCAGCAGAAACUGGCUGCUCUUCCUCCUGGGUAGACAGCCAGACUGUAUUUCCCAGCUGCCCCUGCAGUGAGAUGUGGCCAUCGGAGCCAGCAUUGGCCAAUGGACUCUGCAUGGGAGUGACGCAUGCUGCCUCCAGGCUUGUCUCUAAAACCUCCCACGUGUCCUCCACCUGCUCUUCCCACCUCCAAGGAGCACGGCAAUUGUGGAAGACCCAGAUUAGUGAUGGCAGAACCAUAGAUGGGAGGAACCUGGGUCCCUGACUUAAAGUAUCAUGGAUUUGGAUGUUCCCUUAGUGAGAAAUAAACUUCCAUUGUGU
rnacentral:lncRNA from 10 species